rnacentral:rRNA from 1 species
UACGUAGGGUGCGAGCGUUAAUCGGAAUUACUGGGCGUAAAGCGUGCGCAGGCGGUUUUGUAAGACAGGCGUGAAAUCCCCGGGCUCAACCUAGGAAUUGCGCUUGUGACUGCAAAGCUGGAGUGCGGCAGAGGGGGAUGGAAUUCCGCGUGUAGCAGUGAAAUGCGUAGAUAUGCGGAGGAACACCGAUGGCGAAGGCAAUCCCCUGGGCCUGCACUGACGCUCAUGCACGAAAGCGUGGGGAGCAAACAGG